rnacentral:tRNA from 1 species
AUUUAUAUAGUUUAUUAAAACAUUACAUUUUCAUUGUAAAAAUAAAACAAUAGUUUUUAUAAAUA